AGCAGCCGCGGUAAUUCCAGCUCCAAUAGCGUAUAUUAAAGUUGUUGCAGUUAAAAAGCUCGUAGUUGAAUUUCGGGACCAAUUUGUUGGUCGUGCCUCGGUACGUACUGGUAUUAUUGGUUUCUCCCUUCUGAAGAACCUCGAUGCCAUUAAUUUGGUGUCGUGGGGAAUCAGGACUGUUACUUUGAAAAAUUAGAGUGUUUAAAGCAAGCAUACGCUUGAAUACAUUAGCAUGGAAUAAUGAAAUAGGACGUUUGAUUCUAUUUUGUUGGUUUCUAGGAUCGACGUAAUGAUUAAUAGGGAUAGUUGGGGGCAUUAGUAUUCAAUUGUCAGAGGUGAAAUUCUUGGAUUUAUUGAAGACUAACUACUGCGAAAGCAUUUGCCAAGGAUGUUUUCAUUAAUCAAGAACGAAAGUUAGGGGAUCGAAGACGAUCAGAUACCGUCGUAGUCCUAACCAUAAACUAUGCCGACUAGGGAUCGGAUGAUGUUAAUUUUUUAAUGUACUCAUUCGGCGCCUUAC
rnacentral:rRNA from 1 species